GCGCGCCUAACACAUGCAAGUCGAACGAGAGAUGAGGAGCUUGCUCUUCAAAUCGAGUGGCGAACGGGUGAGUAACGCGUGAGGAACCUGCCUCAAAGAGGGGGACAACAGUUGGAAACGACUGCUAAUACCGCAUAAGCCCACGGCUCGGCAUCGAGCAGAGGGAAAAGGAGUGAUCCGCUUUGAGAUGGCCUCGCGUCCGAUUAGCUAGUUGGUGAGGUAACGGCCCACCAAGGCGACGAUCGGUAGCCGGACUGAGAGGUUGAACGGCCACAUUGGGACUGAGACACGGCCCAGACUCCUACGGGAGGCAGCAGUGGGGAAUAUUGCACAAUGGGGGAAACCCUGAUGCAGCGACGCCGCGUGGAGGAAGAAGGUCUUCGGAUUGUAAACUCCUGUUGUUGAGGAAGAUAAUGACGGUACUCAACAAGGAAGUGACGGCUAACUACGUGCCAGCAGCCGCGGUAAAACGUAGGUCACAAGCGUUGUCCGGAAUUACUGGGUGUAAAGGGAGCGCAGGCGGGAGAACAAGUUGGAAGUGAAAUCCAUGGGCUCAACCCAUGAACUGCUUUCAAAACUGUUUUUCUUGAGUAGUGCAGAGGUAGGCGGAAUUCCCGGUGUAGCGGUGGAAUGCGUAGAUAUCGGGAGGAACACCAGUGGCGAAGGCGGCCUACUGGGCACCAACUGACGCUGAGGCUCGAAAGUGUGGGUAGCAAACAGGAUUAGAUACCCUGGUAGUCCACACCGUAAACGAUGAUUACUAGGUGUUGGAGGAUUGACCCCUUCAGUGCCGCAGUAACACAAUAAGUAAUCCACCUGGGGAGUACGACCGCAAGGUUGAAACUCAAAGGAAUUGACGGGGGCCCGCACAAGCAGUGGAGUAUGUGGUUUAAUUCGACGCAACGCGAAGAACCUUACCAAGUCUUGACAUCCUGCGACGCACAUAGAAAUAUGUGUUUCCUUCGGGACGCAGAGACAGGUGGUGCAUGGUUGUCGUCAGCUCGUGUCGUGAGAUGUUGGGUUAAGUCCCGCAACGAGCGCAACCCUUAUGGUCAGUUAUACGCAAGAGGACUCUGGCCAGACUGCCGUUGACAAAACGGAGGAAGGUGGGGAUGACGUCAAAUCAUCAUGCCCUUUAUGACUUGGGCUACACACGUACUACAAUGGCGUUAAACAAAGAGAAGCAAGACCGCGAGGUGGAGCAAAACUCAGAAACAACGUCCCAGUUCGGACUGCAGGCUGCAACUCGCCUGCACGAAGUCGGAAUUGCUAGUAAUCGUGGAUCAGCAUGCCACGGUGAAUACGUUCCCGGGCCUUGUACAC
rnacentral:rRNA from 1 species